UCUCCGUUGGUGAACCAGCGGAGGGAUCAUUACCGAGUGCAAACUCAUAACCCUUUGUGAACCUAUAUCUGUUGCUUCGGCGGCUCGCUCUCGGGCGAGCCCGCCGGUAAUAUCAGUAUCUCUGUUUGAACCCGACGAUACUUCUGAGUGUUCUUAGCGAACAGUUAAAACUUUUAACAACGGAUCUCUUGGCUCUA
rnacentral:misc_RNA from 1 species